GUCGAAGCUCUCGAGUCCAGAAAGAGGCCUGAGUUCCCGAGUUUGAAUUCGGAGUUGGAUGACCGUUCAAAUAUAAUUUUUCGCGAGUUCCCAGUUUUUGAACAAGGUUGUAUGCUCAUUGAAGGAGUAUAACACAUACAAACAGUACCUGGAUACGGUCAAGACAAACCAUGACAAAACCUACAGCAAGAAGAUGAAGGAACAGAUGCUGAGAAUGGUUCAGUUACAUUACAUUUAAGUCAUUUAGCAGACGCUCUUAUCCAGAGCGACUUACAAAUUGGAAAGUUCAUACAUAUUCAUC